GUAUUUUUGAGGGUGCAAUUGCUUGAUUAUGCCACAAGGGGGAGUGUUCAUUUAUGUGAGCGCUAGUAGGGCUGCGCGAUGCUUCCGCUCCUCAGACAGAGAACAGCUUGCUGAGCAAUCACAAGUAACAUCUCCUGUGUCUGAUUUUCCUGUACAAAACAGGACACAAUAUCUGUUCACGGGUUACUCAUGCUUGAGGCCUGUAACAGAAAUUUGGAGGCACCGCUGGGUUCGGCAUCUGACGAGAGUUGGUGCUGAUCUUUUAACCAACAAACCAGGCAGACGUCGCAGGACCAGUACAGUGGAGUGGCAGGCGUGCAACUGGGGCGGCCACGAGGCGAAGAGGAGGAUUGAGCCAUUGACAUGCAGUUAUUGUAUGGGUAGCAAAAUGCCUCCAGCACCAGAAGAUUUGCCAUUACAUUCAAGAAACCACCUUCCUCCUACAAUUUCAUCUGGAACCUCAGCAAAUCCAAAAGAUGUUCAUGCUUUAAUACACAGGGUAAAGGGUGUA
ensembl:lncRNA